rnacentral:rRNA from 1 species
ACAAGCGGUGGAGCAUGUGGUUAAUCGAAGCAACGCGUAAGAACCUUACCAGGUCUUGACAUCCCCUGACAACCCGAGAGAUCGGGCGUUCCCCUUCGGGGGACAGGGUGACAGGUGGUGCAUGGUUGUCGUCAGCUCGUGUCGUGAGAUGUUGGGUUAAGUCCCGCAACGAGCGCAACCCUCGACCUUAGUUGCCAGCAUUCAGUUGGGCACUCUAAGGUGACUGCCGGCUAAAAGUCGGAGGAAGUGGGGAUGACGUCAAAUCAUCAUGCCCCUUAUGACCUGGGCUACACACGUGCUACAAUGGGCGGUACAAAGGGUCGCGAACCCGCGAGGGGGAGCCAAUCCCAAAAAGCCGCUCUCAGUUCGGAUUGCAGGCUGCAACUCGCCUGCAUGAAGCCGGAAUCGCUAGUAAUCGCGGAUCAGCAUGCCGCGGUGAAUACGUUCCCGGGCCUU